rnacentral:rRNA from 1 species
AAAUUGAAGAGUUUGAUCAUGGCUCAGAUUGAACGCUGGCGGCAGGCCUAACACAUGCAAGUCGAGCGGUAGCACAGAGAGCUUGCUCUCGGGUGACGAGCGGCGGACGGGUGAGUAAUGUCUGGGAAACUGCCUGAUGGAGGGGGAUAACUACUGGAAACGGUAGCUAAUACCGCAUAAUGUCGCAAGACCAAAGUGGGGGACCUUCGGGCCUCAUGCCAUCAGAUGUGCCCAGAUGGGAUUAGCUAGUAGGUGGGGUAACGGCUCACCUAGGCGACGAUCCCUAGCUGGUCUGAGAGGAUGACCAGCCACACUGGAACUGAGACACGGUCCAGACUCCUACGGGAGGCAGCAGUGGGGAAUAUUGCACAAUGGGCGCAAGCCUGAUGCAGCCAUGCCGCGUGUGUGAAGAAGGCCUUCGGGUUGUAAAGCACUUUCAGCGGGGAGGAAGGCGUUAAGGUUAAUAACCUUGGCGAUUGACGUUACCCGCAGAAGAAGCACCGGCUAACUCCGUGCCAGCAGCCGCGGUAAUACGGAGGGUGCAAGCGUUAAUCGGAAUUACUGGGCGUAAAGCGCACGCAGGCGGUCUGUCAAGUCGGAUGUGAAAUCCCCGGGCUCAACCUGGGAACUGCAUUCGAAACUGGCAGGCUAGAGUCUUGUAGAGGGGGGUAGAAUUCCAGGUGUAGCGGUGAAAUGCGUAGAGAUCUGGAGGAAUACCGGUGGCGAAGGCGGCCCCCUGGACAAAGACUGACGCUCAGGUGCGAAAGCGUGGGGAGCAAACAGGAUUAGAUACCCGGUAGUCCACGCCGUAAACGAUGUCGAUUUGGAGGUUGUGCCCUUGAGGCGUGGCUUCCGGAGCUAACGCGUUAAAUCGACCGCCGGGGAGUACGGCCGCAAGGUUAAAACUCAAAUGAAUUGACGGGGGCCCGCACAAGCGGUGGAGCAUGUGGUUUAAUUCGAUGCAACGCGAAGAACCUUACCUGGUCUUGACAUCCACAGAACUUUCCAGAGAUGGAUUGGUGCCUUCGGGAACUGUGAGACAGGUGCUGCAUGGCUGUCGUCAGCUCGUGUUGUGAAAUGUUGGGUUAAGUCCCGCAACGAGCGCAACCCUUAUCCUUUGUUGCCAGCGGUUAGGCCGGGAACUCAAAGGAGACUGCCAGUGAUAAACUGGAGGAAGGUGGGGAUGACGUCAAGUCAUCAUGGCCCUUACGACCGUGGCUACACGUGCUACAAUGGCAUACAAAGAGAAGCGACCUCGCGAGAGCAAGCGGACCUCAUAAAGUAUGUCGUAGUCCGGAUUGAGUCUGCAACUCGACUCCAUGAAGUCGGAAUCGCUAGUAAUCGUAGAUCAGAAUGCUACGGUGAAUACGUUCCCGGGCCUUGUACACACCGCCCGUCACACCAUGGGAGUGGGUUGCAAAGAAGUAGGUAGCUUAACCUUCGGGAGGGCGCUUACCACUUUGUGAUUCAUGACUGGGGUGAAGUCGUAACAAGGUAACCGUAGGGGAACCUGCGGUGGAUCACCUCCUUACCUUAAAGAA